rnacentral:rRNA from 1 species
AUUGAACGCUGGCGGCAGGCCUAACACAUGCAAGUCGAGCGGAUGAAGGGAGCUUGCUCCUGGAUUCAGCGGCGGACGGGUGAGUAAUGCCUAGGAAUCUGCCUGGUAGUGGGGGAUAACGUCCGGAAACGGGCGCUAAUACCGCAUACGUCCUGAGGGAGAAAGUGGGGGAUCUUCGGACCGCACGCUAUCAGAUGAGCCUAGGUCGGAUUAGCUAGUUGGUGGGGUAAAGGCCUACCAAGGCGACGAUCCGUAACUGGUCUGAGAGGAUGAUCAGUCACACUGGAACUGAGACACGGUCCAGGCUCCUACGGGAGGCAGCAGUGGGGAAUAUUGGACAGUGGGCGAAAGCCUGAUCCAGCCAUGCCGCGUGUGUUAAGAAGGUCUUCGGAUUGUAAAGCACUUUAAGUUGUGAGGAAGGGCAGUAAGUUGAUACCUUGCUGUUUUGACGUUACCAACAGAAUAAGCACCGGCUAACUUCGUG